UUGGAGGGCAAGUCUGGUGCCAGCAGCCGCGGUAAUUCCAGCUCCAAUAGCGUAUAUUAAAGUUGUUGCAGUUAAAAAGCUCGUAGUUGAAUUUCGGGAUCAAUACGUCGGUCGUGCUUUUUUGGUACGCACUGGCGUCAUUGGUUUCUCCUUUCUGACGAACCAUGAUGUCAUUAAUUUGGUGUUAUGGGGAGUUAGGACUGUUACUUUGAAAAAAUUAGAGUGUUUAAAGCAGGCAUUAGCUUGAAUACAUUGGCAUGGAAUAAUGAAAUAGGACGUUCGAUCCUAUUUUGUUGGUUUCUAGGAUCAACGUAAUGAUUAAUAGGGAUAGUUGGGGGCAUUAGUAUUCAAUUGUCAGAGGUGAAAUUCUUGGAUUUAUUGAAGACUAACUACUGCGAAAGCAUUUGCCAAGGAUGUUUUCAUUAAUCAAGAACGAAAGUUAGGGGAUCGAAGACGAUCAGAUACCGUCGUAGUCUUAACCAUAAACUAUGCCGACUAGGGAUCGGAUGAUGCUAAUUUUUAAUGACUCAUUCGGCGCCUUACGGGAAAC
rnacentral:rRNA from 1 species